GUCCAGACUCCUACGGGAGGCAGCAGUGGGGAAUAUUGCACAAUGGGGGAAACCCUGAUGCAGCGACGCCGCGUGAGCGAAGAAGUACCUCGGUAUGUAAAGCUCUAUCAGCAGGGAAGAAAGUGACAGUACCUGACUAAGAAGCCCCGGCUAACUACGUACCAGCAGCCGCGGUAAUACGUAGGGGGCAAGCGUUAUCCGGAUUUACUGGGUGUAAAGGGAGCGUAGACGGUUGUGCAAGUCAGAAGUGAAAGCCCGGGGCUCAACUCCGGGACUGCUUUUGAAACUGUGAAACUGGAGUGCAGGAGAGGUAAGCGGAAUUCCUGGUGUAGCGGUGAAAUGCGUAGAUAUCAGGAGGAACACCAGUGGCGAAGGCGGCUUACUGGACUGUAACUGACGUUGAGGCUCGAAAGCGUGGGGAGCAAACAGGAUUAGAUACCCCGGUAC
rnacentral:rRNA from 1 species